AAAUUGAAGAGUUUGAUCAUGGCUCAGAUUGAACGCUGGCGGCAGGCCUAACACAUGCAAGUCGAACGGUAACAGGAAGCAGCUUGCUGCUUCGCUGACGAGUGGCGGACGGGUGAGUAAUGUCUGGGAAGCUGCCUGAUGGAGGGGGAUAACUACUGGAAACGGUGGCUAAUACCGCAUAACGUCGCAAGACCAAAGAGGGGGAC
rnacentral:rRNA from 1 species